rnacentral:ncRNA from 1 species
UUACGACAAAGGCAAACCACUUGAAAGAGUGGGGCGCAAAGUCACAGGCCUAAAGCCCUAACGGGCAAUGGUAGCUGGAUUACCGAA